UAUAUAUUGAGUUUCUCUGGCGCUCCCUGUAUUCAAACCUGGCAUCUUUCACUUAGUACCUCCUAGUGGUGACAGUUGUCAAGUGCAUUACGCACACUACUAGUACUUUCGGCUGCUCCCGUUAGGGGUCGCCACAGCGGAAAAUCCGUUUCCAUUUCUAAAGGUUCAUCAUCGUCAGUUCCGUAACCUAUGAAGGUCGUAGGAGCACAGCUGGUUAGGUCAUUGUGUUUCAGUAGGGGGAGUAACUGGUGGUCCCUAUCUCCUCUCCAGGCAUGGCUGGCCGUUGGUUUACAGAGAAACUCAUCCGUCCUUUGACAGCUUUUGUCCAACUUCACACGAUGGCGACAGAGUUGUUCUCUAUGAAUAGGGCUGGGGCUGAGCUGACACGAUAUGACUACAACAUCUAUCUGUUGAUUUUGCCAGCAAUUUAACCCCUCC